CCUACGGGUGGCAGCAGUCGAGAAUCAUUCACAAUGGGGGAAACCCUGAUGGUGCGACGCCGCGUGGGGGAAUGAAGGUCUUCGGAUUGUAAACCCCUGUCAUGUGGGAGCAAAUUAAAAAGAUAGUACCACAAGAGGAAGAGACGGCUAACUCUGUGCCAGCAGCCGCGGUAAUACAGAGGUCUCAAGCGUUGUUCGGAAUCACUGGGCGGAAAGCGUGCGUAGGCUGUUUCGUAAGUCGUGUGUGAAAGGCGCGGGCUCAACCCGCGGACGGCACAUGAUACUGCGAGACUAGAGUAAUGGAGGGGGAACCGGAAUUCUCGGUGUAGCAGUGAAAUGCGUAGAUAUCGAGAGGAACACUCGUGGCGAAGGCGGGUUCCUGGACAGUAACUGACGCUGAGGCACGAAGGCCAGGGGAGCGAAAGGGAUUAGAUACCCGAGUAGUC
rnacentral:rRNA from 1 species